rnacentral:rRNA from 1 species
UGGGGAAUAUUGGACAAUGGGCGCAAGCCUGAUCCAGCCAUGCCGCGUGGGUGAAGAAGGCCUUCGGGUUGUAAAGCCCUUUUGUUGGGAAAGAAAAGCAGUCGGUUAAUACCCGAUUGUUCUGACGGUACCCAAAGAAUAAGCACCGGCUAACUUCGUGCCAGCAGCCGCGGUAAUACGAAGGGUACAAGCGUUACUCGGAAUUACUGGGCGUAAAGCGUGCGUAGGUGGUGGUUUAAGUCUGUUGUAAAAGCCCUGGGCUCAACCUGGGAAUUACAGUGGAUACUGGGUCACUAGAGUGUAGUAGAGGGUAGCGGAAAAUCCCGGUGUAUCAAUGAAAAGGGUAAAAAAUCGGAAGGAAACAUCUCGGGGGAGGAGGCGGCUACCUGGACCAACACUGACACUGAGGCACGAAAGCGUGGGGAGCAAACAGGAUUAGAUACCCUGGUAGUCCACGCCCUAAACGAUGCGAACUGGAUGUUGGGUGCAAUUUGGCACGCAGUAUCGAAGCUAACGCGUUAAGUUCGCCGCCUGGGGAGUACGGUCGCAAGGCUG